rnacentral:rRNA from 1 species
CUUUUGACCUCAAAUCAGGUAGGACUACCCGCUGAACUUAAGCAUAUCAAUAAGCGGAGGAAAAGAAACUAACAAGGAUUCCCCUAAUAACUGCGAGUGAAGAGGGAAAAGCUCAAAUUUAAAAUCUGGCAGUCUUUGAUUGUCCGAGUUGUAAUUUAGAGAAGUGUUACCCGCGCUGGACCGUGUAUAAGUCUCCUGGGAUGGAGCGUCAUAGAGGGUGAGAAUCCCGUCUUUGACACGGACUACCAGGGCAUUGUGGUGCGCUCUCGAAGAGUCGAGUUGUUUGGAAAUGCAGCUCUAAAUGGGUGGUAAAUUCCAUCUAAAGCUAAAUAUUGGCGAGAGACCGAUAGCGAACAAGUACCGUGAGGGAAAGAUGAAAAGAACUUUGGAAAGAGAGUUAAACAGUACGUGAAAUUGCUGAAAGGGAAACGCUUGAAGUCAGUCGCGUUGGCCAGGGAUCAGCCUUGCUUCUGUGAGGUGUACUUCCUGGUUGAUGGGUCAGCAUCAGUUUCGACCACUGGAAAAAGGCUUGGGGAAUGUGGCACCCUCGGGUGUGUUAUAGCCUCUUGUUGUAUACAGUGGUUGGGACUGAGGAACUCAGCACGCCGCAAGGCCGGGAUUCGUCCACGUUCGUGCUUAGGAUGCUGGCAUAAUGGCUUUAAGCGACCCGUCUUGAAACACGGACCAAGGAGUCUAACAUGCUUGCGAGUGUUUGGGUGGAAAACCCGAGCGCGUAAUGAAAGUGAAAGUUGGGAUCUCUGUCGUGGAGAGCACCGACGCCCGGCCCUGAAGUUUACUGACGGAGCUGCGGUAGAGCACGUAUGUUGG